AUUGAACGCUGGCGGCAUGCUUUACACAUGCAAGUCGAACGGUAACAGGCCGCAAGGUGCUGACGAGUGGCGAACGGGUGAGUAAUGCAUCGGAACGUGCCCAGUCGUGGGGGAUAACGCAGCGAAAGCUGCGCUAAUACCGCAUACGAUCUAUGGAUGAAAGCGGGGGACCGUAAGGCCUCGCGCGAUUGGAGCGGCCGAUGUCAGAUUAGGUAGUUGGUGGGGUAAAGGCUCACCGAGCCAACGAUCUGUAGCUGGUCUGAGAGGACGACCAGCCACACUGGGACUGAGACACGGCCCAGACUCCUACGGGAGGCAGCAGUGGGGAAUUUUGGACAAUGGGCGCAAGCCUGAUCCAGCAAUGCCGCGUGCAGGAAGAAGGCCUUCGGGUUGUAAACUGCUUUUGUACGGAACGAAACGGUCCUGGUUAAUACCCGGGGCUAAUGACGGUACCGUAAGAAUAAGCACCGGCUAACUACGUGCCAGCAGCCGCUGUAACAC
rnacentral:rRNA from 1 species